rnacentral:rRNA from 1 species
UGGGGAAUAUUGCACAAUGGGCGAAAGCCUGAUGCAGCAACGCCGCGUGAGUGAUGAAGGUCUUCGGAUUGUAAAGCUCUGUCUUUUGGGGCGAUAAUGACGGUACCAAAGGAGGAAGCCACGGCUAACUACGUGCCAGCAGCCGCGGUAAUACGUAGGUGGCGAGCGUUGUCCGGAUUUACUGGGCGUAAAGGGUGCGUAGGCGGAUGUUUAAGUGAGAUGUGAAAUACCCGGGCUUAACUUGGGUGCUGCAUUUCAAACUGGAUAUCUAGAGUGCAGGAGAGGAGAAUGGAAUUCCUAGUGUAGCGGUGAAAUGCGUAGAGAUUAGGAAGAACACCAGUGGCGAAGGCGAUUCUCUGGACUGUAACUGACGCUGAGGCACGAAAGCGUGGGUAGCAAACAGGAUUAGAUACCCUGGUAGUCCACGCCGUAAACGAUGAGUACUAGGUGUAGGAGGUAUCGACCCCUUCUGUGCCGCAGUAAACACAUUAAGUACUCCGCCUGGGAAGUACGAUCGCAAGAUUAAA